rnacentral:rRNA from 1 species
UACGUAGGUGGCGAGCGUUGUCCGGAUUUACUGGGCGUAAAGAGCGCGCAGGCGGCUGGUCAAGUCCGAUGUGAAAGCUCCCGGCUUAACUGGGAAAUUGCAUCGGAAACUGAUCGGCUGGAAGGUGGGAGAGGGUAGCGGAAUUCCCGGUGUAGUGGUGAAAUGCGCAGAUAUCAGGAGGAACACCGGUGGCGAAGGCGCCACUCUGGGCCGGUACUGACGCUGAGGAGCGAAAGCGUGGGGAGCGAACAGG